CGGGCUGUGGUAUAGUGGUAUUACGUGCGAUUCGGGUUCGUAAAAUUCCGGUUCGAUUCCGGGCAGCCCGA
rnacentral:tRNA from 1 species